ACCUCAANUCAGGUAGGACUACCCGCU
rnacentral:rRNA from 1 species